UACGUAGGGGGCAAGCGUUGUCCGGAAUUAUUGGGCGUAAAGAGCGCGUAGGCGGUCUGAUAAGUCGGUUGUGAAAGUCGGGGGCUCAACCCUCGGAUGCCGAUCGAUACUGUCAGGCUAGAGUCCGGAAGAGGCGAGUGGAAUUCCUGGUGUAGCGGUGAAAUGCGCAGAUAUCAGGAGGAACACCAGUGGCGAAGGCGGCUCACUGGCCCGAUACUGACGCUGAGGCACGAAAGCGUGGGGAGCAAACAGG
rnacentral:rRNA from 1 species